AGAUGAUGGACAAGACCCCUAUCUCAGGUCUGACCCCUCCCCACACUCCCAGGACAGAGCUCAUGGAGAGGACCCCUCCUGUGGGGGUCAGGGUGGCUGGUGGUCGUCCUGAGCCAUUGCUUUCCCGGCAUCUGCCCCAGUAGAGGAGGCUGUGACGUUGACCCCAGAGGAGAGGAUCCAGGAGUGGAGAGCACAGCGUGGCCCCUCCACAUGCCCACCGUGCCUGCAAUCCCUCCCAGUGUAGGGGACUUGGCCCUAAAUCCCAUGUGCUGGUCUUUAGACUGUGCCUCGGCCUGGGCGGGGCGCAGGCGGUGUCCCCGAGACCCUAGAGGCCUGGCUGGUGUGGCACACCGUUGUUGGCCUCACCCGACAACCCAGGAAGCUCUCACAGCGCGGCCCACUGGGUCGUCUUGGACUUGGGAAGCUUAUUGUGAAGGUCCUUUAUUUCCCCGGAAAGUUCUUCUGCCCCCGAGGGGUUAGUGGGGCCGUGUGGACACCACGUGCUCACCUCUCGGUUGGAGUUGGCGUGUCUGGUGUUUAGGGUCUGCAGUCCGCUGUGCUCUGGGCUACAGAGGGAGGGACGUGGUCGUCCUCCCCUUGGUGGAUUUAACACCGGGGCCUGUGGUCUGUGGUGUGUGUAGCCCACUGCUCUCUCCCUCCACGCGGCCUGAGCAGCAGGGACACGGGGGACCGUUGAGGACGUUGUCCCCUUCUCCUCUGGGUCGGAUCGUCAUCCCCAGGGGCUGUUCACAAGGGUCCCUUCCUCUAGGUUGGACUCGGGCAGGGGGCCUGGCAGCCCAUGUGGACGCGUGUCAGGGGGGUCAGGACGCAUGGACGUGUGUCCCUCACGAGCAGGUGGGACCUCACAGGGUCCCCGGGAAGACACACGGAGACCUCACUGCCUCUCAGGCUCCUGCAGAGUCUACACGGAGGAAGACGCACGCGGGCGAGCUGGACGAGCUGGUCGGGAGGAGGGCCGUGCCAGCCAUGUUCUGUAAGCUGACUGCCAGGUGCUGCAGAUGCAGGUGGCUGAGAUAGUCCAGCUCUACCUGGACGUCCCCGCUCGGCCCUCAGCCUCCCUCCAGUCCUGACUUCACCCCUCCUUCUGUGUCAUCUCUCCCCUGCAUAAAAUACAGACUCGUGGUCAAAGGUUCCACAAGGACGGUGAACGUGAAUUAGCCGCAGUCUCACAGGGUCACCUGCUGUCAAACCUGUUCUCUUCUGUCUGUUCUCGUCACGCCUCCCCUGAGGACGAAGGCCCUCUGUGUUCUCGUGAACUGCGUCUCCCGUUAAACCUCCUCCCAAACUUAACUCCUCAUGCACAUUUCCAUUAGGACAUCACAUCCGUCAUUUGUGCCAUCUUGUGAAGGGGACAGGGUCGUCGUCUCAGUUUCAUCCUUUCAUUACUAUUGGAAUUGAAUGCAAGGUUGGUCCUCUCGUAGGACACGACUGCCUUUUAAACAGCUGUGCACUGAGCCUCUGUACAUCCUGGAGGCCGCGUCUGGGACCUGCUUGUCGUCUGACACGUGGCCGGCUCUCGCAGCUCUGCGCUCCCUCCCACCCUCCCUCCCUCGGCCCCAAGGCAGAACGACAGGCUCCAAUACGCCCUGUCUCGUCUCCUCUGCCUGCAGCAGGUGAGUGGGCUGUUCCGGAAGGUCUGACGAUGCCCCGCGGCUGCUCCCCCGCGACACUGAGCCUGGGUCACGGGCACCGCUGUUCCUCUGCCUUCUCCUUAGAAAGUAUGCACCCGCGUUAGCGCUGUGUCUGCAGUUGCUCAUGACGACAGCGCGUCCUGGCGUCUUGGCUCUGGCGGCCGUAACAACGGAACAGACGGGGCGGCUUAAACAACAGACCUGUGUUUCUCCCAGUUCUGUCCCCCAGGCCUCACUGGGGGGGAUUCAGCAUAUGGAUUUGGGGGGACACACACAUUCAGUCCCUCACACCUGGCCAGGGAGCGGCCAUGGUUCUGUGCUGGGCUGGAUCAUCCCGUGGGGCGGCUUUUCUAGCUGAGCCCAGGGAUGUCCGUGCCCCCUGAGCCGCUGUAUGGACCCGGGUGAAUCACACGCAUUCUGUACGUGGCUGGGGGUGGGUCCCACUUAGCUGCGGGUGUUUCUGCCCACGGGGCCGUGUCUGCCUGUGUUGGCAACGGGCGUCCCUCACCCUGUGUGUCUGUGCAGGUUCCCGCACCCUCUCUGUUCUGUUUAAACUGCAGACGAUCCACAGACCUGCCCCGCACUUCGGACGGUGGCCCGUCCUGUCAUAGGGAUCCCCCGGGUGCCAGUGUGGACUCCACGCGUGUCCUUCAUUGGUGAGGUGGGCCUCACGCACCCCACAGCGACUUGAGGGCGUCUCUCCCCUGGUCUGUCAGGGCGGAUGUUUCCAAAAGGAGAGAUUGUAUAUAAUCCUCGUGGAAGACAGCUUAUCCCGACACGUGGAGUCCACGACAGUGACACGUGGCGUCCACGGCUGGGAGGCGUGGCCAGUGUUCUGCUCUGUGUGGUGCCUUGUUCUGUUUUCCAGACGGAUCUGUCUGCCCUCAGUAUCACAAGUGGUUACUUAGAGGGCUUGGGAGACUCGCAUAAGCCCGCAUUGAAUCGGACACCAACGUGGUCCUGGAACUGAACAGUGUCUGUAGGAGGAGGUGGUGCUCUCCCUUCUCUCCCCCUUGUCCUGGCUUUGUCACCCCGUCUGGGGCCACACACCGUCUUGAGCUCUCUGGAAGACCCGCCUUCAGCCCUCUGUGCUGCGGGUCCGUCCACGCCCACCUGCAGACUCACCACUGCCAGGACUGCAUCCUCAUGAGGCCAAACGAGGGGGCCCAGGGCGAGGAGGAGCCCACUGCCAACCCGUUUCACACCACAUGCAAACAGAGCAAGCGUCUGUUUGCAAGCAAGCUUCAUCCUGAAGACCUGUCCACGGGGACGUGCUCCACCUGGACACCCUGGCCAGCUCUGCACGGCUCACAGAGAACCGAGAAACCUGUCCAGGGGCUGGACAUCUUUGAUGUUAACUCCCUAUCUUCUGAGGACGCUUCCAGUGAAGACAUCGAUGUGGAGUGUGUCCCUGCCCAGGGGGAGGUGUCUGACUGAAGAUGGCCCACACCCCGGGUGGGACCCAUGUCCAGAGCUCCUCCUGCAUCACCACGUUGUGUCCACGGCCGGCUGGUCCCGGGUUGGGUGGCCUGUGGCCUCCGACUGCGGAUGACCUGGGCCCUCGGGGCCUCCAGGCUGUGAGUGGAUGGUGGUGACCCUGCCAUCUGCUCCCACAGAGCCGGCCCCCUGUACACGGGGCAGGGCCACGCAACCCUCCACUGGGGACCCUCAGGGUGCCCAACCACCCAGGUGUCUACCUGCCCGCGGCUUCCUCGCGGGGCCCCGGCUGAGCACUGUGCUCAGCUCGGCUGGCAGGUCCCAGAACCAGCUUUGCUCCCCUGCAGAGCUUGGUGCCGGCUCCCUUGUCUGGGUGGUCCCGCUCUGCGUGGGCCGCUGGCUCCUCCUCUCACGGCCCAGGGCCCUGUUGGCGCGUUUCGUGGUGUCCAGUGCCUUGGGCCCAGCUGCAGGAGAAGGAGGGUGCGGCACGGUCUGGGCAGCACCAAGAUGCUUUAAACUGGCUGCACCUGAUGUGGUGGAGGUGGGAGCGGCCUGAGGCCCGCAGCCCGGGUGGGGGAUGCCCGUGGGGUGUCCCUGAGGGCCACUCAUUGGCACUGCUCCCCACAGACACCUGGGGUGUGGCCACUCCCACCCUUGAAAUCUCGUGUUGGUGCCAAACCACAGAGGCUCCCGGACACCAGAGGGGGACGACCCCAUACAGCCGACCCCCGUGCACAGGUGGAGAGUGGAUGUCAGGGGGUCUCCCCAUUUCUCUCUGUAGGGGAGGAUUCUCCUCCCUCUGUUGUGCACACACAAGAACAAGUCUGCACGUCCCGGCAUGGGCCUUGGCCUGGGCGCUCAGGGUCCGGGCCCCUGGAACAGCCUGCCUCCACACGAGGCCACGUUCUGCAAGCCUCUGCGCAAAUGGUGGGCUUGGAGGUCGAGGCCUCAGGCAGAGCGUCUGUGCAGUCGAGUCGUCUCUCCUCCCCUCUCCAGACUUUGGAAGCCACCCGUGGGGGAGAACCCCCUGGGCAUGGUGUCAAGACCAGCCGAGGGGGGUCAGAGGAGGGUCACGCUGCUGGGAGCUGUCAAUCCCCAGGACCUGUGACCCGUGCUGACCCAGCUUCCUGCCCCCGAGGGCCAUCCCCACCCGGCAAUGUAGCCACGUCUCCCCUUGGUGACAUUCCUGUGUGUCCCCAGUAGCGUUGCUGUCACCUUUGCAGACUGGGUAUCACGGGCUGGGUGAGCUGAGCCCUUGAUUGAAAAUCUUUAAAUUCUUUAUUUGAAAAUACAAACGUGAUCUCAUAAAACAUUUUUAAACCGUUCUACACAGCAAAUAAAAGUUAACUUUACAUA